UACGAAGGGGGCUAGCGUUGUUCGGAAUUACUGGGCGUAAAGCGCGUGUAGGCGGGUCUUUAAGUCAGGGGGGAAAUGCCAAGGCUCAACCUUGGAACUGCCUUUGAUACUGGAGACCUUGAGUCCGGGAGAGGUGAGUGGAAUUGCGAGUGUAGAGGUGAAAUUCGUAGAUAUUCGCAAGAACACCAGUGGCGAGGGCGGCUCACUGGCCCGGAACUGACGCUGAGACGCGAAAGCGUGGGGAGCAAACAGG
rnacentral:rRNA from 1 species